rnacentral:misc_RNA from 1 species
CUCUAUGAGCAAAGCAACACCGCAGAACACCGCAACACUACUGGAAACCUAAGGUGGUUGUAGCUGCAAAGUCGGUGUGAAUUCGCGAAAUUGGAACUUAGAUAAGUAACCUGAAGCCAAUAGCUGAACAGGUACAGUGGAUUGUGAUCACUGCUAAGCUGGAGCACAGCGCUGGACGGCCGGGCAACGUUAUUUACGAAGAAGCAGGGAUCCGAUGGUGACGUGAAGCACCGCGACGGAUUUGUGGGUUCUGUACGGGGUGUCGUGUGCGUGAUCCCUCUCAACUGUGGUGGUUUUAGCGUGUGUCUAACCGGAAGAUGUCUGAAUGAUCGCCCACAAAAGCAUUCGGAGUGUUAGGAAGUAAAGGUGGAAGCGAUAGUUCGCAAGCCUAACCGGGAACAGGAAGAAGCGCAUCACUCGCCAUGCCCCUUCUGCAACUUCAGCUUGGCUGAAAUGGAAUUGCUGUGCUCUCAGUGCACAGCCAACCUGCCAUUCUGCCUAGCCACGGGCAAGCACAUUGUGAAAGAUGACUUCACGCAGUGUCCAAGCUGCCAUUUUCCUGCCAUCUACACACAAUUCCGCGACCUGCUUGCAGUGGAGACCACCUGCCCUAUGUGCCUUCAGCCAGUGUCAGCAGACCAAUUACAACCGGGAAAGUUUGAGCCAGAGGUAUAUGAAGAAACGGAGGAGUAGCGUCAAAGUCGAACAGUUUAUACUAAGGCUUCGAGAGAUCUUGUCUAUAUUAAAGGGAGCGAAGAGG